GGGCAGUCCUACCUACUUCUCGAAAACACCUCCUACAAAAACCAAGAGAAGCAAGACCAUUUGCAACAAUAUACAACUCCUUGCAACUUGUUUGCUGACCCAGACCAUUUUCGUCCGCAAGUCAGUGAUUGGCGUUUAUCACAAAGUGACACUGGGACACUUGGGCACGACGUACGAGAGCGGAUGGGGCCAUGAUGCACUGAAGGGCUGAACAAGGAUCACUGCUGCUGUAAAGCUGUACGCAGUGCUUCACAGCUGCCUGCAUGAUCUGGUAGGAUGGUGAGACCACCACGUUUCCUUGGACAAGUAUCAGAACUUCACCUUGAACAAAGUGGGAUUAAGUUUUACUCAUUUUAGAAGAGCAUGCCUAUCGAACAUAUGGAC